UGAAUCAUAAAAUCUCUACUUUCUCUUGCAGAAAGCUAAAGAAUAAUAAAAGUUUCUGCAAGACAGGACCCCUCCUUAUACCAAAGUUUUCAAGAGUUAGAAAUUCAUCUUGUUUCUGUGUUCUGGUGCUACUAGCAAACAGGAGCAGCAGCAGAGAUUUUAACAGCACAAAAUAGCAAGAGAACUGGAAGAGAAAGAUGGAAGCUCACCAAGCCUUCCUGCAGACAAACUCUCUAUUAUGGCUGAAUCCAUUCUGAUUUCCUCUUUUCCCUCCUGAAAUCCUCUCAUUUCCUGUGUCAAUCACAAUGAACAACCUGUG
rnacentral:lncRNA from 1 species